rnacentral:rRNA from 1 species
GAUGAACGCUAGCGACAGGCUUAACACAUGCAAGUCGAGGGGCAGCGGGGGUAGCGAUACCCGCCGGCGACCGGCGCACGGGUGAGUAACGCGUAUGCAACUUACCUAUCAGAGGGGGAUAACCCGGCGAAAGUCGGACUAAUACCGCAUGAAGCAGGGGCCCCGCAUGGGGAUAUUUGCUAAAGAUUCAUCGCUGAUAGAUAGGCAUGCGUUCCAUUAGGCAGUUGGCGGGGUAACGGCCCACCAAACCGACGAUGGAUAGGGGUUCUGAGAGGAAGGUCCCCAAGCUUGGUACUGAGACCCAGACCAAACUCCUACGGGAGGCAGCAGUGAGGAAUAUUGGUCAAUGGGCGCGAGCCUGAACCAGCCAAGUCGCGUGAGGGAUGAAGGUUCUAUGGAUCGUAAACCUCUUUUAUAAGGGAAUAAAGUGACCCACGUGUGGGUUUUUGUAUGUACCUUAUGAAUAAGGAUCGGCUAACUCCGUGCCAGCCGCCGCCGUAA